rnacentral:rRNA from 1 species
UACGUAGGUGGCAAGCGUUGUCCGGAUUUACUGGGCGUAAAGAGCGCGCAGGCGGUCGUUCAAGUCGCGUGUGAAAGCCCCCGGCUCAACUGGGGAGGGUCACGCGAUACUGAUCGACUCGAAGGCAGGAGAGGGUAGUGGAAUUCCCGGUGUAGUGGUGAAAUGCGUAGAUAUGUGGAGGAACACCGAUGGCGAAGGCAGCCCCCUGGGAUGAGACUGACGCUCAUGUACGAAAGCGUGGGGAGCAAACAGG